rnacentral:antisense_RNA from 1 species
CUCGGCUUCCUCCUCCCCCACUCAGGCCCCAGAAACGAGCUCAGGGGCCUGCCAGAGGCUCCGCCGAGGCGACGGGCCGCGCAGAACUCUGGCGGCGGCCGUGGGGCUGCUGGAGCCGGGCCUGGCCUGGGUGACCGUGACCGUGGCCCCCACGCACGCCUAGACCGGACCCCGGGCGGGCGCCGCCUCCUGGGACCAGAUUCCACCCCAGCGGCGGCGCGGCCGGGAGUCGCGCACGAAGAAACUGACUCAGCGGACUCCGCCAAGUCCCCAGGCCCGGAGCCCCGCAGCGGAGGCGCGCAGUGCGCAGCCCGGCCGGCCACCCUCCGCGACCCGCCAGCCGGGGAUCCUGCGGCCCCACAGAAGGUCUGGGAACCGGGAGCAGGAAAAAUGAAAGCCGCCUAUCUCCAGAUCUAAGAAUAGAAAUCAGGGCGCUGGGAAAAGAGGACACCGCCCAAAUGGCCCCUUUUAGAAAUACAUUGUCUUUAGAGUUCCCCCUAUAGGGAGAUGAGCAAUUUUCCCCAAAGGAUGGAGAGAGAGGUUAGCCAUCAAAACUGCCCCCGCUACUGUCAUUUUUAUGAUUUUUUGUGACUGUUAGUGGGAGAGGAAAUAAACAUUGUUUCCCUGUGAGUUAUCUGAAGCUCUGGUCACCAAAAAGGCCACUAAAUUAACUUUUGGAAAUUUGAGUUGCACUAGGCAGGAUUCUGAUACUUGGGACACCCAAAAAGUAAUCAGCUCUCAGAGCUAUUAGAACUGAGACAAAGGACAGGGUACAUGAAAUGAAAGGUGAAAAGGUGAGAGAAGCAAACCUAAAUACUCUUCUCUUGGUAUUCGGAAAUACUUAUGAGUAUGGGUGUCUAUAACCCCAAAGUUUUUUGGUUUUGUUUUUUGAUUGUUUGUUUGUUCGUUCUGUUAAGUACCUAAGUAAUGUGUUUUUAGGAAAAGAAACCUAGCAAGAACAUUGUAGACAAGGCUAGGCAAAGAUGAUCUAUCCUUCAGGUGAUGUGUCUGUCCUCAAGGCCAUUUACAAAGAAGAGGAUUGGACUGGAAGUUACUACUUCACAAUUUUAGUUUUGUUUUCACAUCUGUUACUUCAAUCCUGAUGACAAUUCUGAAAUGGAUACAACUACUACUAUGUAUCCUUCUUUCACUAAUGAGGAAAUUGAGAUUUGGAGUUGAAAAGUGAAGAGCUUUGCUGGAGUCACACAGGUGGGAAGUUGAGAGCCAGGACUUCAACCCAGCAAAUCUUCUAACUCCAGGUAGAAGGUUCUUCAUGCUCUACAACUUUAAUAAGAAUGCUCUAGACUUUGUUAAUUCAUUAGAUUAGUGAGAUAGCAAAUUCCUACUCAACCUGGAUAUUGGGUCUAUGUCUUGUUAUAGAGUCUUCAACUUUUACAGACAUGCUGAAAUAUUUAUAGUUGAAAUGGUUAGGAUUUGUUUCGAAGUCAUCCAGUGGUGGAGGAAAAGAUGAAAUGUGUGGAGGUAGAGAUAACGAUAACAACUUUUGAACUGAUAAUUGUUGAAGAUAAUAAGAGAUGGGUUCAUGUGGUCUGUUCUACUAUUCUGUCUAUAUAAAAUUUUCCAUAAUUUAACAAAAAACUCCCAAUCUUACAAUAUUUAUCAGACCUACAGUGUAUUAUUUUCUAAGUUGUUUCUAAACUUGUUUCCAUUUCUGAUGACUUAAUCAAUGUCUCAAGCAUUUCUAGGCAUUCUCCAUCUCACGCAUUCCUUCUGUUCCUCUGCAUUACUUUCUCCUUUCCUGUUCUACUGAAUUACAACCUUGCAAGAAAUUAAAACCUACCUCCCUUCCAAAGAAAAAUAAAUCUAAAUUAAAAGA